CAAUUCGUUAGCAGACUUGUUUUCUCAAGAAAAGAAUGCAAAUGUCUCAAGCAGAUUGUCAAAUCAUAACGCCCCAGCUUACAACCCAAAGCUUCAAAUAAUGGGUGAAUCGUCAACUGCUGGAAUCAAAACAGUUGAGCAAAACAGUGAACAAAAGCAGAUUAUACCUAUAUCGGCUAUGCAAAUAUCUUCCGAACAAGGACAGAUCCACAAUGGUAAGGAAGCAAUGCUUACAUUUGAAGAAGGGGAGGAAGAAGAGAUGUUAAUGCAAUGUCGUAAAGAUGCUGCAAGAAAAGGUGAUUUAUCUCCAAUGCACAGUAAAUGAACAAGGACAGAUUCACAAUGGUAAGGAAGCAAUGCUUACAUUUGAAGAAGGGGAGGAAGAAGAGAUGUUAAUGCAAUGUCGUAAAGAUGCUGCAAGAAAAGGUGAUUUAUCUCCAAUGCACAGUAAAACAAACAAGAAAGGUCGUCAAAGAGAUAGAAGCUGGGACGGCAGGGUGACAGAAGAAGGUAACAUAAGACGCCCUCCAAUGAGAAUCGCGAAACUAAAGCAGUUGUCGCAAAGAAACAAUAACUAAUCAUCAAUUAUGAAUUAUGAAGAUCCUUAGCGUUUUUCAUAUCUUUGUUAAUUUCAUCAAUUGUAACAUCAUCACAGAGUAAUUAUAAACUCUGGGACGAUCAUAUUUCAUUUGGUGUAUUUUGUUUUAAUUUCUGUAUUUUUAUUUUGCUAUUAAUAAAAUCUUAACCCUAGGCUUUGCCUAGCGGUCGCCAAAAAAAAAAAAAGUAUGAACAAAAGGUUUGUUUUAAUUUCUGUCUUUUUAUUUUGCUAUUAAUAAAAUCUUAACCCUAGGCUUUGCCUAGCGGUCGCCAAAAAAAAAUUCAUCCUACAAUGGAUAUAGGAAAGUUCCUGGACUGGUGAAAAGGUUGAUGUCUUUGUCGCGUGUUGACUCCCAAGUAGUUGCCUCGACGGGGUGAUCUCUCGACUGCAUUCGAACAAAAGGAUAACUCUUAGACUCAAUUGUCGAACCUGCUGGUGUUAUGCCCUAGACAUGAAGAGGCAUGGCCGCCACCCAAUGCUAUACUUUACCUGAGCGUACCAUCUAUAACUUUAUACUCUAGAGGGCUAACCCUCGUACCACUCUAUAGCUGUAUACUCUAGAAUGAUAACGCUUAACUUAGGCCGAUGAGACCAUAUUCUGAAUCAUCUAAAAUAAUGAUUCUCACAUCUGAGGGAUAAACAUACCCAAAAGCUCGUGUGUAUGUGUGUGUGUGUAUACAUAUAUAUAAGCCUAUAGAGAUAACUGAACAGUUCCAUGGUCAUGACUGGCUUUGACCUACCCAUCAAACUUGUAUACAUAAAAUGGACUCCUAGGUCUAAAUCGUAUAACUCCGAGGAAGUGGAGCUUAUGAACCAAGCUGAUGUUUGACUCUAUUGGGAGGGUCUGUCCAACUAUCAAUGAGGACCUGUAGGCAUAAAAUGCAGCAUCCCUAGCAAAGUAAUGUCAGUAUGAAAUAAUGUACUGAGUAUGUAAGGCAACGAAAUAACUGAAAGUUGAAACCGAACUGAUAAAUAAUAACUGAAAAUGGUUGGGACUCAAAGAUUAUUUGAAUAUAUGCUUACUUGCUGAUACUGACUCAAAUCUCUCUCUCUCUCUCUCUCUCUCUCUCUCUAUAUAUCCAUUCAAAUUCAAAGCCUUCAACUACAACUCUUCUUUCAAAUUCAUUCUGAUUUAUCCUGAAAACCAAAACCAACGAUCUACAUCAGCCAUAAUAUACGUGGGGAAAGUCAUGCUCGGGAACUGGCAAUCAAAGUGCAAAAUCUCUAAAGGACUGGUCGGAUCGUUAUAAAAGACUUUCUAAAAAACACCUGGACCGCGCACCUAAAUCGAGGAAAGCAAAAAUAAGGAAUAUAAGGCUUCAAAAUAUAGAAUUUGGUUCUGAAACUCUAGAUGACCUGUCGGGUCAUCACAUUCUCCGCCUCUAAUACAAUCAUUCAUCCUACAAUGCAAUCAUUAAUCCUACAAUUCGUUAGCAGACUUGUUUUCUCAAGAAAAGAAUGCAAAUGUACUGAUAUACAACCUAUACAUAAUUCAUCUAUAAGCCUCUAGAGCUAACUGAACAGUACCAUGGUCAGGACUAGUCUUUGAUCUACCCAUCAAACCUGUAUACAUAAAAUGGACUCCAAGGUCUAAAUCGUAUAACUCCGAGGAAGUGGAGCUUACGAACCAAGCUGAUGUUUGACUCUAUUGGGAGGGUCUGUCCAACUAUCAAUGAGGACCUGCAGGCAUAAAAUGCAGCAUUCCCAGCAAAAGGAAUGUCAGUACAAAAUAAUGUACUGAGUAUGUAAGGCAACGAAAUAACUGAAAGUUGAAACUGAACUGAUAAAAUAAUAACUGAAAAUAAUUGGGACUCAAAGAUAACUUGAAGAUAUGCUUACCUGCUGAUACUGACUCAAAUUUCUCAAUAUAGUAAGUAAAAUAAUUGUCCAGUCUUAUAAGGCUCGGUAUCUAUAACUGCUCUGUCAAAGUAGGCUCGCUCAAAGGUGCUUGGUCAAUCAGUAUCUCAUUUAUUUUGGGCUAGCUCAUAAACGCUCGACCAUAGUAGGUUUGGUAUAUAACUCAUCAUCUGAUUAGAGGUUACCCAAUGGGGGCCUACCCAUUGAUUAUAGCUUGAUGGUGGUAAAAAUACUAUAAUAUUGUGUGUAUAUAUAUAUAUAGAUUCUAUACUCUCUUGGGUGAAAAAAUACAAAUCUAAACGAAAUAUGAAGUUCACAUAAGGGAGAAUGCUAUUACUUGUGAAACUAGGAAAAUGUACAUAACUCAGGAAUAUGAACUUCUCUUUAUGUCACGUUAUCAAACACAUCUAGUUAUUAGAUCAUGCUAAAAUGAAGGAAAGGUCUAUCCUUAACAUACCUUAUCACAAACUGUCUAUUAACCACGUUAAAAUCAUCUCAUUACACGUUAAUCUACAAUAACUACAACAAUACUAUGAUCAAAUUAUGGAAGGUACAACUAUCGUACAACGAACAACAAGCUUAUUUUAUAAUAAAAUGGGCAGCAUCCCCCUUAUAAUCUUUACUUCCUCCUAGUUUGACAUAACACCAAAAACAACAAAAACACAACAAUAACAACAUGCAUACAUUAUUUCCAAACUUUAUUUCCAUCACAAAAUUCCAUAAGACAGUCCAACUUACCGCUAUCACUUCAUACACAAAAUGACAACCAUAAUAGUAUCAAACAAUCCGAAAAUGUUAUGACGAACGACUAGCCAACCAUCCUGUCAUUAUGUGGUAUUUCUCCACGCCCUUUAUCCUCCAAAACUCCAUAAGAACUAUAGCAAAAGAGACAACCCAACAGCAAUAAGAAACAGCCCAAAAAAGUAGUCCCACAAGUUCAACAAGUCAAAAUUGAUUUUUCAUUUUAUUAAAACACCUUUAGCUUGUCUUUUCUUUCAAAUUAAGAAACACGACUAAAGUUACAUAAUUCAGCCUAUUAUCCAAUAAACCAACCAUUAAUUCAACUAAAAAUUAAGUUUACAAGCAAACAACAGCAACAAACAACAUACCACUCUUUCGAAACUGGCUAGAUCUAGUCUUUACGAUCGAGUUACAACUCGUACAAGCAUAGUUAAUGGAAGGAGAAGCAUAAAUUUACCUUGAACUGAGUAAAACCCACGAAACCUAGCCCUUCUUCAUACAAAAUCAUUCCCCCAACACAACUACAGGAAGGAGAAUAAGAAACUAGCAAGUUAUCUAGGAUUUCGGCAUUAGAAUCAUAUCAUAACACCCGAAAUAACCAACGGUUUGUGUGGGAUUUUGGGGNNNNNNNNNNNNNNNNNNNNNNNNNNNNNNNNNNNNNNNNNNNNNNNNNNNNNNNNNNNNNNNNNNNNNNNNNNNNNNNNNNNNNNNNNNNNNNNNNNNNNNNNNNNNNNNNNNNNNNNNNNNNNNNNNNNNNNNNNNNNNNNNNNNNNNNNNNNNNNNNNNNNNNNNNNNNNNNNNNNNNNNNNNNNNNNNNNNNNNNNNNNNNNNNNNNNNGGGGGGGGGGGGGGGAUGCAGGGGAUCAAUCUGAGUAUUUUUGGUCUGAUAAAUAAGUGAAUUAAAUGUGUUAAUAAUUCCUUAGAGCUCACCUUUUUCCCAACUUUAGGGAUUUUAAUUGAGGCCUCGCCUUUUGGCAAGUAGGUGAUGCACCUAAUUGUCACCUACCAUUCUACGCAGUCUCGUGAAAAUGCAAAUAUCUCUGUAAUCCAAUAUUUUAUAAAUGAAUGGUUUAAUCCGUUGGAAACUAGACUUGUAGAUCUUCAAUUUGGAAGGUACAUCAUCCUAUAAUCCCAUGUAUAUUGGGAGAAAUGCUCAGCUGCAUUUUACCUAAUUUUUACCAUAUUUAUGAAUGUAACUUGUAAUGACCUUUUCCAACUUUUGUUCCUCAAUGCUCAUGAUUUCAAAACACGAGACACGACUAUCAUACGACUAAAAUAACUCAUAAUAAAAUCUCCAUAUAAGGUUAAACAAUGUUGUCUCGCCCUAAAAGUGCAUGUUAUAACAUUCCCAACUUGUCGACUUUUGAUGAAACUUAUUUUCUUCAAUUCAUAUAGCUUCUAAGCCUUCAAAUCCUCUUGGUACUUUGUAUUCAUGAUCUUAUAUAUUUGUAACUUCCAAGUUAACAUGAUGUACUUUCACAAAUAAUCUCAUUUUAUAGCUUACAUCAGUUGACUUGUGACGUACAAUUACGUAUGAAAACAUGAGGUGUAACAUCAUUCCCCCUGUUUACCGUGAAAAUGGUAAUAACAAUUAAAUUUGACGAUGGAACUCUAAAAAUACAUGAUCUAUUUUUAUGCUAGUUGUAAGCAAUUGAUGCUAUGUGUAUGAGAUUUAGAAAUGAAAUAAGUGUUAAGGAUAUGGUGAUAGUCAAACUGAUAGAUUGUAAAUCAGGGCCUCGAGCUUGUCAAUUCGUGGACAUCGAGGUUGAUUCUGGGGCUCAACUGUGAGCUAUUGAGGAUGAUUGAGGUACGUCUAACAGUUAUAAUAAAAUUAAUGAAGAAUCUUUAUCAAUAAUGGUAAAUUAUGAACAAAUGGAAAAAUAGCACAUAAUAGCAAUAAUAUUAGGAGAACAUGUUAGAGAAUAAAGAGAAUAUUCUUCUAUAUUUUGUUUAGGAUAACUUAAGCAACAGGGGUUUACAAAGUGACAAUGAUCCCCUUUAUAUAGGAGGAGAAUCCUAACAUAGUACAAAAUACAUUAAUUACAAAGAUAUGGGGAUAGGACAACUAGAUGACAUUAGGCUCUGUCAGUACUAGUUGUGUGCCUUGGGAACUCCCCAUUUCCAUCAUGACCGCAACAAACAUUGUCCCUGGAUUAGGCAUCCAAGAACCUGAAGGGAGGAAACUCGACCACAACCUUGUAUCCUCGAGGCUUCGGGAUGAUCUUCUGAAAUUCCUUAAUGACGAGAAAUUGGACCCUUCGAUUUUGCCGUAUACAGAUAGUCCUCACGUUUAUUAGAGAGGAGCGAUAAAAACGACCUUGAGAUCUAAUUUUGCAAACUUCCUAUGACAACGUCACAUUGAUGACAUCAUGCUUAUAAGGUAAGCUUUUACAAUAACCGGGGCAUCCCAUAGACUUAUUUUUUCAACGUCAUUCAAUGCGCUGCCGAUUCCCAUUCUUCAAGGCUAUAAUAUUACCGUUGAUUCAAUUUUCAAUGACGCAUUGAUUGCGCCUGCCGACCGUCUUUCAAAGGCUUUGAUGGUGUUGCUAACCAUACUAUCUCCCCCUAUAAGUGGUGUCCUUCUAGUGCUAUUAUCUUACCCCAAGUGUUUUUCAAAAUCUAUCCAUUCUUCUCUCCUCACUGUUCUCCUCCAUUUCUGAUCACCAUGUUUGGGGUUCACGGCCUAAAGGUUGCAUGGCAGCAUUUGCAUCCGCUACGUGAUGGCCUUAUGUCUAAUCUUCCCCUUGCUGAAUGAGAUUAUACUAUCUUGUCAUUGUUUCUAUUGUUGGUAUGACUACUAUUUAUGUCAUUGUUGGCUUGAGGUGAUGAUACAGGGGGGCUAACUUCAUUUAAUUUAGAAGGACGUUUGGACUCUACACCGCUACUCAAGAGAGUGUUUGGACUACACAUUGCUACUCACUCUCCUACCCUGGCCUGGUGUGUCACUUAAUCCUUGGAAUUUUUUUCCCAAGGGGAAAAAUGGCACAAGCGGCCAUUGAACUUUCACGGCAUGAUGUCCCAGAAUGUGGAUUUGGAGUGGCUGUACAAGUAGGUUAAUGCUCGUCGAAUCUUCAAUCUUUGGCUUUGAUGGGCUAUGUCUCUUUCUUCUGCCUCUUCUGUAUCACUUUCCUCUUCUUUAUCUUCGCCCUCGGAGAUAUUAUUUUGUGGGAUCGAGAUAGGAAAUUAGAGCAGGUGUUGGAUGAAGAUAUUACUGUCGAGGAUGCAUGUUCGAGGAGACGGUUCUCGAAGAUGCUGCUGCAGAGGAUGCACCUUCGAGAGUAGACUAGGCUCUAGGCUUUUACUAUAUGUGUACACCUGGGCAUUUGUAAUGAUAUGUAAGGACACUCCCCCCCCCCCCCCCCCCCCCNNNNNNNNNNNNNNNNNNNNNNNNNNNNNNNNNNNNNNNNNNNNNNNNNNNNNNNNNNNNNNNNNNNNNNNNNNNNNNNNNNNNNNNNNNNNNNNNNNNNNNNNNNNNNNNNNNNNNNNNNNNNNNNNNNNNNNNNNNNNNNNNNNNNNNNNNNNNNNNNNNNNNNNNNNNNNNNNNNNNNNNNNNNNNNNNNNNNNNNNNNNNNNNNNNNNNNNNNNNNNNNNNNNNNNNNNNNNNNNNNNNNNNNNNNNNNNNNNNNNNNNNNNNNNNNNNNNNNNNNNNNNNNNNNNNNNNNNNNNNNNNNNNNNNNNNNNNNNNNNNNNNNNNNNNNNNNNNNNNNNNNNNNNNNNNNNNNNNNNNNNNNNNNNNNNNNNNNNNNNNNNNNCCCACAAUGGGUUAUUGGAACAAAAUAUUUAUGAAUAAAAAGAUAUUCCUUAAAUUAUUUUCUUUGAUGCUUGCUAUAUUCUCUUUCAUUUGCAUUUGUGGAUACUCUAAAUGCAUGACUUUGUCUGCUAUUACCAAUAUCGAACCUGGGUGCGAGUAUUCUUUCUGCCCUUCGAUUGAUAAUAACAUCUUUUCGUGGAGUCCUUUGCCAUUUCUUGAGCAAAAAAUAGAUUAAUCCGAUAAACUCAGGUUGUCGGAACCCUUAUUUUGAGAUGAAUGGAAGUAAUGCUUCGAACCUUGAGACUGUGAUUUAUCACUUAGACCAUACGGUAGUCAUUAAGGGGAAAUUCAUUUGGAAGUUCGAGGAUGGAGACUACCUUUAGGCUUUCAAGAGCAGUCCCCGAUUGAGGAUUAACUCGGGGUGUCAGGAGACUUGUCUUGAACUUAAUGUAUAUAACCUUAAGGCAUUAUAGAUAGGUCCCCGGAUGAGGGACUGCUUGGAUUUAGAUGAUACCAUAAGGUCAAACCCAAACGGAUGGAGCUUGAAGUGCUUAUUUUUCUUCUUGAGAUGAGCCUUCUUAAUCCGGUACCACCUCGAAUCUUGCAAUGAUGUUAAAGGCCUCUCGGAGCCAAAAUUAUUUUUGCAGAGGUCCUUGAGGUUGAGUACCACCUUAGGAUAAGAUAUGAUGGCGUUGGCUUCUUAAAGCCUAACUUCAUUUUGAUGAAGAUCCUCGAAGUCGGCCACCUCGGGACUAGUGAUGAUGCCAACGGCUCCCUGGGGCCUAACUUCCUUUUGGUGGAGGUCCUUGAGGUUGUGUACCACCUUAGGACUGGAGAGGAUGCCAAUGGCUUCUUAAAGCCUAACUUACUUUGUAUGAAGAUCCCCGAGGUUGGUUACCACCUCGGGACUAGUGAUGAUGCCAAUGGCUCCCAGCGGCCUAACUUCCUUUUGGCGAUGAUCCUCGAGGUUGGUACCACCUCGAGGCUAGAGAUGAUGUUGUUGGCUUCUUAAAGUCUAACUUCAUUUUGAUGGAGAUACUCGAGGUCAGGUGCCACCUCAGGACUGGCGAUGAUGCCAGUGGCUCCCUGGGGCCUAACCUUCUUUUGGCGGAGGUCCUCAAAGUUGGGUACCACCUCGGUACUGGAGAUGAAUCCAUUGGACUUUUAGGCAGGCGGGUCGCUGGUAUUUUUUUCCAUAUAUAGGUUCGAUUCCACUCCUUUGGAGAUACCACUAUUUUAGAUAGUUAUCCUCCCUUUUCAUCAUUAAGCCUUUCAUUACCUCAGCACUAAAGUGCUUCCAUAGGUUUCUGUUUUGGUUCUCUAGUCUCUCUAUAGCCCCAACUGCUACAUCAGGUCUAUCCGGUAAAGAGGGGAGAGUUACACGCCCGACACUCAGCACCAACGAGAGUUUGAAUCAAAGAUUACUUAUUCUAUAGGAGAGGAGGAUCUUGAGUUAGUGAGGAAAGACUACGGAUGGGGGGAGAAAAUAGUGUUACAGACACUUUUCCUAGAUGAGGGCAUCUUGGAUCAUGCUUAUGGAUUCCUGAAUGUGUACACGUAUCCUUUCACACUGGGUCCCCUUGAUAGGGUUGUGCUCAACUUUUUUUAAGGUGUCGAUAACUUUGGAACAAAUCCACCCAUCAUUUUAGCGAAAAGUGUUGAUGAUAAUAUUUUUUAUGGAGGAGGCUCGACUUGAAUUCACGCUCAGUCAUCUCAUUAGGCUGUAUCAACCCUUUCGCCAUCAAGGACUACAAACCUUGCAGUGUCGGUCGACCACACCCUUUGUUGUUGAAGAUGAGAAAGAUGGAGGUUGGGAAUGGAUGAGCCGAUUCAUCCAGGUAUAGACUGUUGACGUUAUCCCUGUGGAACUUAUGCGAUUCACUGAGGAAUGGAACUAUUCACGUAAGUGGUACAUCUCAUGCCUUUUCAAAUAUUUUCAUAGCAAAGGCUAGUUUCGUAACCGUGUUUUUCCUAUUCUAUAGCGGUUUUAUGGAUGUCGGGCAACAUUCCUCAUCAACCUGGUUGGGUUCGAGAGUUGGCGACCCACUCAACUUGUGAGGAGCGCAAGUUGCAAACUUUGUCCCAUGGCAGAUGGGAAGCAAAACACCACGGUGCGUGUUGUACUACAUUUUCCUUUCCAAUCAAUCAUUUGGAGAGACAUUUUCCCUUUCUGUGUGUUAAUCUUAUUGUUGUAGUAUCGGAGAGCCUUUUGAGGAGAGGUCGUGCUCCUCUGGGGAAGGAUAAGGGUUGCCAGCUUCCAUGCUAAAGAACUACAAUAAUAAGUGAGAUAUGCCUUCGUAGGGCGAUGGAGAUCAAAGUAAGGUGAAACAGGGUCGGGGCUUCGAGAUAAGAUCAUCGUCUGAGCUUGCCGCACCGUGGUUCCUAAUUCUGUAAAGAUGGUUUCUCAAAGUUACCAUGCCUCGAUCAGAGCCGAUUCUUUCAGCGCUGAGGGAGCUAGACCAACAUAUGUGCGCUCGGCCUUCAAGGAAGUUUGGUGACUUCACUUCGUGGUGAGUUUCAAGAUAGGCCUUUUGAAUCCCAUGUCUUUCUUUCCUUAUCGAGUUUUCUUUUAUAGGCCAUUGGCAGGCUUAAGUUUGAGCUGCUUCAUCGUGAAUCCAGGCUCCGGAAAACUCUAUAAGAAGAUAGAUCCCUUAGGUUUAUUUGCAAAGAAAAGGAACUCGAGCUACCAUGGGGAGAUUUGGAGCUUGAAUUAUGAGAGCUACUUGAUAGAGCAGGUAGUUUUCCAUCUCAGCUGAGUAUAUGUUUUGGAUUCUAGCUUCUGAGGCUAACACUUUGUCUAUCCUAAUUGCAGAAAAAGAUGGAAGCCCUUGAGAAUCUUCGGGAUAAAGCUGGCUGAGCCAAGAGUGAAUAUGAUGAGCUAAGAGCUCGAGCGGAGGUUCAGGCUAUGGAGAAGAAGGGUGCCUUGGCUAAAGUUCCUACCCUCGAGGCUCAGCUUUGGUUAGCUCAUGACAAUGCUUUAGUUCAAAGAGUACGAAGCUUGAAUCAGAGCUUUCGAAGGUUAGGGCUGAGAUCGUUGAUGUCCGGGCUGGAGCCGUACUGAGCCAAACUAAGGCUGAUCAGGAGAUGGAGAUUUAUUUAAGGGAUGCUACCAAUUCUCAGUAUUAGUUGAGAAGGACCCUCGAUCGUGAAGAGAGGAUCAAAGAAUAUGCUCGUUGCAAGUAUUGAAAGAAGACUCUCGAGGAGAUCCGCACUAGGUGUUUGUUCUCUCAGAAGAGUUGGUGCAAGUGAGGGCAAACAAGCAUGAUGCUUGGUUACUUCUAUCUGACACUAAGGAAAGCGAAGAUGAGGCUAGCAAACUGUAGCUCCUAAGGGGAGGGCGUAGAUUUUGCCAUUUUGUAUAUAGCAUUUUCAAAGAAAGUUUUUAGAUGGAGAUUAUGUUUUUUCGCGUGAAUUUACUUCUUCUGUACCCCUUUCUGUCUUAAAUUUGGCCAGGUGAACUGGUCUCGGAGUUGGUGGGAAUCCUUAGAUUCAUGAUAUGGUCCUGGGGUUUAUUAGGCUGGCCCAUAGGCUCUUAUGCGCUUGGUCGAUGCGACCUUUAGUAUAAGCUGCGUUUGAGCUCUUAUGCUUUUGUUCAACUAUUUUGGGUAUAGUCUCUAAGUCAGGAACCGACUCGAGCUCAUUUGACCCUCAAGUAUUUAUAUUUGCAUGGGAUGGCGACAAUGGCUCUUACGCCUUGGAUCGAAGCGAUCUUUUAUAUGUGAGGCCCUAAGGCUCAUUAGGCUGGAAAUGAUGGCUCUUAUGUUUUGCCCUUUGGCAUAUGUAGUUAACUAUUUUGGGUUCAGUCUCCGAGUCUAAAACUAACUCGAGCUCAUUUGACCCUCAAGUUUUAUGCUUGCAUGGGUUGGAGACAAUGGCUCUUACACCUUGGAUCGAAGCGAUCCUUUGUGCCGGAUGGCGACUAUGGAUCUUCUGCCUAGGGUCAAAGAAACCAUUUGUUGGCUUUAUUUUUCCCUUGUUAAGGACUUCUUGAGAUAAUUUGCCUGACUUUUCAUCAUUUCAGGAAGAACCUCGAUUACGAGUCAUUUUGCGGCGAUGAUCGAGCACCUUGGGAGGUUUGGCUCAGAGGUUGAGUAGCUCGAAGCCUGUGAUUUGGAGCUGACAUGGUCGGAGCUCUUUCGCCUAUGCCAAGGGUAUCCUAUUUAACCAGUUCGUUUCAAAGUAGAUUCGAAGUAAUUGAAGGCCUGUGAUUUUGAAGCGACGGUCGAGCGUCUCCGAGCUGCAUUAGUUUGGCUGGUACAGCCUUAUGACCAUGGUAAUUUAUGCUUGGUUGGAGCCAUUUUGAUACCGAGUAAAGUUGUUUAGACGUCUAUAUUGAGGGUAUGCCUUUUGAGGAGUCUUACAAGUUUGAUAUAUAGCCUUAACUCCGGGAUCGAGUUUAUGACAGUAGUAAGGUCUUACAAAAUUUUCAUGCCUUUGAGGUAUUACAGCUUUUAGAUACUUGAUACAAGUAUGGUUCAUGCCUUGUUUGAGGUCUUGCAGAUUUGUGGAUACUUGGUACAAGUAUGGUUCAUGCCUUUCUUGAGGUCUUACAGAUUUGUUGAUACUUGGUACAAGUAUGGUUCAUGCCUUGCUUGAGGUCUUACAGAUUUAUCUAUACUUGGUACAAGUAUGGUUAUUACCUUGCUUGAGGUCUAACAGAUAUUUUUGUUGCCUUAUGUAGGUCUUACAAGACUGAGUCUACCCGCUCGGGGUAAUAUAGCUAUGGGUUUUUUAAUGAAUGGUGAUUAGCGGUAGUCCUCAAGUCAUCGAGGGUAUCCUGGAGCGAGAGCUAUUACUCGUAAACUUGGUAUUUCCUCUUUGAGAGCUUAUGACAUUGGAGAUCCUCACACAGAGGUCAUGAAAUUUUGGAGGUUUUGAUGCUAGUCCCCGAGUGUUCAAGAUGUUUUCGACCUUGGAGAUGUUUCAUGAUUUUCAUGUUGCCUCGUUGGGGUCGUGUGAGUUUGGAUUUUCGGCCUAGAGGUCGUUCAGAUGUUGAAUUGUCGACGCCAAUCUCCGAGUCUUUAGGAUAUUUUCUAAGGAGGAAUCAUUUUUGCAAAAAUGCUAAGUUUUCUUUGGAGUAUGAGAUGCUUCAAUAAAGGUAUUCUUCGAUUAGUUGAUACAAGUACACAUGUUUUCUCCGCCGGGGUCCCGGCUAUAUGGACACGGUUCGUUUGACCGUUUGGCCCGAUACAUACUUUUCCUAUUGGGACCCCACUUGGAAUUUCUUGGCUUUUCUGAGUGGGUGACCUUCCGGGGGGAUGCCUCCCUUUGUUCGGUUUGAUUGAAAAAAUAACCUUGAGUACUUGGCGAGUCUUCCUUGGGUAGCAUGUGGAUGCUGCUUCGAUAAAAACCAUGCCGACAAAACCUCAUUCUGGGACAAAAAGACAGUCAAAGGAAAAGAGUGCAACGGAUGGUUUAGAACCUUAAGAUCUUUGGGGCAGAGUCGAUGUUUUGACUACUUCAGUCGGGCGCCAACAUAAGGGUUAGUAGGAAAUACGAAAUGAAAAGGGAGAUGGUUAUACCUUAGUGUAGGAUGUGCCUGUGAUAUUUUGAGGUUUGAGUUGUCCUAGUAGCUUAUGAUAAGGAUGUGGUACGGUCCUUUGCUUUGUUUAAUUGGGCUUAAUCAGAAUUGUACUUUGAUUACAGUUUGACAUUUCAAUGAGUGGAGGUAUUGGUGUCGUUGCCACAUCGUGCACCGCGAACAUUUACCUUGCCGCAUGCUAUUCCCUGUAGAAGGUUUUACUCCCAUCCUUCUUCGGGAAUCUCAUCAUUUGGUGGAGGGUGGGCGGUACUGCUCUCAUGCAGUGUAUCCACGGCCAUCCGAACAAGGCGUUAUACCUCAUGUCUAAAUUGAUGACAUGAAAUUUGACAUUUUAGGUUGUGUCGGUGUUGUUUCACUCGCCAUUUAAAAUCUGUUGAGGACUCGAGCGGCAGGCAUAAUCGCUUCCUACUCCGCACAACUAAAAAGUAUGAAGAGAGGGUCACAAUAGCUUUUACCCGAUUUGUGGGUCGGGAUUGAUUUCCAUAGGGAGCUAGGAAUGGAGUCAAGUAUCUAUUUAGAGUGAAAUUGCGUACUUGUUCCAAAUAUCACUUCCAAUCAUUUUUGGGUUUUUCUUCAAUAAUCUACUAUGUUCAACUACUAAUUAUAAUUUCAGCUAAAUUAUGAUAAGCAAGAAUUUCUACAAGUUGUAUCUAAUGGAUGAAAAGGCACUAGGGUAGUGACUUUUACCUAGGUGGCUAAUUGACGGGUAAUAGCUUCUAAGGCAGGAUUGACAUGAUUGGGGAGAUAUGCUAUAACUGUUCCACGAUGUUACCCACUCUCACACCACUCGGUAUAGAGAGUGAUUUUGCAAGACCAAUUAGGUAGGAAAAUUUUGCUCAAGCGACUAGGGUUCGAGUCAGGUAUUAACUUUUUCGAGGUUUAACCUUUUAAUUGGGAUAAUCAAAUCUCUUGAGUCCGUCUUAAUUCCUUGUUCGGUCCAUUUUGGAGACUUUGACUCUCUUUCUCAAGAAGAGCAAAAAAUUCAUCUUAGCACAAACAAGUUUUUGCAACCAUUAAUUCAUAAAUUAAACCAUAAAAUUGACCCAAAUAACAAACACCAUAGCCAAUCUAGCUCUAAAUUGCAAGACCCAUCAAUUACCCACACUAGGGUUGAGCCACAACCCUAGCUAAUAGGUUUAGCUACUCAUGCAUGAAGAGAAAAUCAGAUAAAUAGAUGAAGAGAAAGACAUAAUAUUAAAUUAAUGAAGUACAUAUAAUGAUUCAAUGACUAAAACUACGUUAAACUGCCCAAAAUGGCUACAAAAUGCCUUCUCACUACCCCAGCUCAAGUCUGGUAAUAGUUGAUACCUAUAAAUGCUAAAAGGUUUUAUUUAUACUAAGUUGGAAAAAUUGGACAAAAAUGCCCCUGCGAGAUCAGUACGGACAGCACAAAAUGGUGUAUGACCGCGGAGGAGUCUAGUGUGGUCCACACAAACACGACCGCGGAAUGUAUAGGCUUGAAACUUGGCACUUGACAUCUCUCUGAAGUUUGCAUACAGGGACCACAUAAAAUGGUAGUUUUGUUGCGAUGUCUUUAGUGCGAAGCACAAUAUGUACUGCGGCCGCACUACUUUGACACCUUCAAAUCCAGCUCUCUGAAUCUCCCUAGUAUGGACUGCACAAAGUAUAGUGCGGCCGCUGUAGACUUUUUUGUCCUGAGUUUUCUUGUCUUUGGUAGUUUUGCUGUUUUCACUCCUUGUGAGCCGAUCUUUGACGUCUCGUCACUUUGUUGAUAAAACUUGCAAUCAAGCACAACUUAUGAGCCUUUUGAGACUAUUUUGUAAGAAUUUAUAAUCAAAGCAUAAGAAUGAAGGAGCAUGAAACACGUCAAAAUCCCUGGUUAUUAACUCCCCCAAACUUAAGCUUUUGCUCGUCCUUAAGUAAAUAAAAUAAGACCCAUCCCAUAAGGCAAAAUCCAACAAUUUUCAGCUAUACUAAAGUAACCUCAAAUAGCAUCAUUUGGGACUAACAAUUUCCCUCAACACAAAUGAAUCAUUAAAAACCUUUAACCUUUGAAAACCCAUGGAUCAAGUGUGACACAAGAGCAUCAAGAGCUCACUCAUUACAUCAAAGCACUCUCUCAAUUACUUUGGUCAUUGUGGAGCCCAAACUCACGCAUCAUCAACUCUCCCUAAGCACACCUCACUUUUUUGAAUAUUGGCAUACAAACUGAGGUAAAUAGAAAUUCACUCAACUCUCUCAAGGAAAAGUUACAAGUCUGGCUCUAAGUACCAUAUGCUUGCACCUUGUGUAAGUUUCUACUAAUGUGAGCUUAUUCAACUCAAGAUGAUAUAGGGCUUUUGUGGAGUCUUUGUGAAGUCUUUUGGUUUAAGGUAGGACAUCUUUUUGUUUAAGUGGGUUCCAUCUUCCCUUACGCCCUUCUUUUGAUUCAUUUGUCACAAUUCACUUGAAUCUUUGAGUCAUUUCACUUCUUUCUAAGGGGUUAGAGAGACAAAUUGUCACUCUUUCUUAUGCUAUUCAAACCUUUUCUCUGAGGUUUGAGUUGUCCUAGUAGCUUAUGAUAAGGAUGUGGUACGGUCCUUUGCUUUGUUUAAUUGGGCUUAAUCAGAAUUGUACUUUGAUUACAGUUUGACAUUUCAAUGAGUGGAGGUAUUGGUGUCGUUGCCACAACGUGCACCGCGAACAUUUCCCUUGCCGCAUGCUAUUCCCCUUUCUAUGAGUGGAGGUAUUGGUGUCGUUGCCACAACGUGCACCGCGAACAUUUCCCUUGCCGCAUGCUAUUCCCUGUAGAAGGUUUUACUCCCAUCCUUCUUUGGGAAUCUCAUCAUUUGGUGGAGGGUGGACGGUACUGCUCUCAUGCAGUGUAUCCACGGCCAUCCGAACAAGGCGUUAUACCUCAUGUCUCAUUUGAUGACAUGAAAUUUGACAUUUUAGGUUGUGUCGGUGUUGUUUCACUCGCCAUUUAAAAUCUGUUGAGGACUCGAGCGGCGGGCAUGAUUGCUUCCUACACCGCACUAUAAGAAUUAUGAAGAGAGGGUCGCAAUAGCUUUUACCCGAUUUGUGGGUCGGGAUAUAUUUCAAUAGGGAGCUAGGAAUGGAGUCAAGUAUCUAUUUAGAGUGGAAUUGCGUACUUGUUCCAAAUAUCACUUCCAAUCAUUUUUGGGUUUUUCUUCAAUAAUAUACUAUGUUCAACUACUAAUUAUAAUUGCAACUAGAUUAUGCUAAGCGAGAAUUUCUACAAGUUGUAUCUACGGAUGAAAAGGCAGUAGGUAGUGGCUUUCACCUAGCUGGAUAAUUGACAGGUAAUUGUUUCUAAGGCACAAUUGACAUGAUUGGGGAAAUAUGCUAUAACCGUUGCAUGAGCACUAGGGUAGUGACUUUUACCUAGGUGGCUAAUUGACGGGUAAUAGCUUCUAAGGCAGGAUUGACAUGAUUGGGAAAAUAUGCUAUAACUGUUCAACGAUGUUACCCACUCUCACACUACUCGGUAUAGAGAAUGAUUUUGCAAGACCAAUUAGGUAGGAAAAUUUUGCGCAAGCAACUAGGGUUCAAGUCAGGUAUUAACUUUUUCGAGGUUUAACCUUUUAAUUGGGACAAUCAAAUCUCUUGAGUCCAUCUCAAUUCCUUGUUGGGUCCAUUUUGGAGACUUAGGCUCUCUUUCUCAAGAAGAGCACAAUUCAUCUUAGCACAAACCAGUUUUUUCAACCACUACUUCAUAAAUUAAACCAUAAAAUUGACCCAAAUAACAAACACCAUAGCCAAUCUAGCUCUAAAUUGCAACAUCAUCAAUUACCCACACUCGGGUUGAGCCACAACCCUAGCUAAUAGUUUUAGCUACUCAUGCUUGAAGAGAAAAUCAGAUAAAUAGAUGAAGAGAAAGACAUAAUAUUAAAAUACUAAAUUAAAUAUAAUGAUUCAAUUACUAAAACUACGUUAAAGUGCCCAAAAUGGAUACAAAAUGUCUUCUCAUGACCACAGCUCAAGUCUGGUAAUAGAUGAAGUACGUAUAAUGAUUCAAUGACUAAAACUACGUUAAACUGCCCAAAAUGGCUACAAAAUGCCUUCUCACUACCCCAGCUCAAGUCUGGUAAUAGUUGAUACUUUAUAAAUGCUAAAAGGUUUUAUUUAUGCUAAGUUGGAAAAACUGGACAAAAAUGCCCCUGCGAAAUCAGUACGGACCGCACAAAAUGGUGUAUGACCGCGGAGGAGUCUAGCGCGGUCCACACAAACACGACCGCGGAAUGUAUAGGCUUGAAACUUGGCACUUGACAUCUCUCUGAAGUUUGCAUCCAGGGACCACAUAAAAUGGUAGUUUUGUUGCAAUGUCUUUUGUGCGUAGCACAAUAUGUACUGCGGCCGCACUACUUUGACACCUUCAAAUCCAGCUCUCUGAAUCUCCCUAGUACGGACUGCACAAAGUAUAGUGCGGCCGCUGUAGACUUUUUUGUCCUGAGUUGUCUUGUCUUUGGUAGUUUUGCUGUUUUCACUCCUUGUGAGCCAAUCUUUGACGUCUCGUCACUUUGUUGAUAAAACUUGCAAUCAAGCACAACUUAUGAGCCUUUUGGGAC
rnacentral:lncRNA from 1 species